GCUAAAACGAUGUGCAAAUUGCCCAUUGCACACCGUUAAUUCGCACACUGGCCUCAAGAGACAGCACAAGCUUCUUUACAGUCAACCACUGAUCUUCAUGCAGUUGGUGUACAGGAUACAUCAGUGUCCCCCCAGUGGAAAAGGCUACACUUUUCAUCGUCUGAGAUGGAUUGACAUCUGAAGAAUGGUCUUCCCGGAUUAUCGAUACAUUGGGAGACCCAGAGGCUGGCAGGAUACCCGCAUACGCAGAAAGGAAACUUAAAUUCUUGCAAUACUUUCAUUUCGUAUGCGUCCAUAACUGUAGGGUACUUUUCUUCAGGGCAGAACAAUGUGCAUACCUCACUCCUGCAUUUGACGUAGGCACGUUCGUCCUUACUGGAUACGAUUCUCUCCAAACUAGCAUCGCAGAAACACGGAUAUUUCUCAAGGGACACCAUGAUGGUCACGUUUUGCUCUUUCUGUCCUCGGGUUUAAUUCGUAAAUGAAAACGCAAGUGAAGCAAAUGUGCUGCGAGAGCGUUUUCGCCGCUUUUUUUAAAGUGUUGUACUACACAUAAAUUAUCAUUUACAGACGCGUGAUUUUCUUUGAAGAAUAGAUUACACUCAUACAGUGAAAUGCUAAAUUCACGUGUAAGAUCAACGCUUAUUCAAAUCGGCAAUUUCCAUUCAGUCACAUUGUCAAACAUCUUCCCGAGGGUCCUUAUUAUUCACUGCAUCAUUCCCCCUUAAUUCCAUUCAGUCACAUUGUCAAGCAUCUUCCCGAGGAUCCUUAUCAUUAACUGCAUCGUUUCCCUUAAGAUACCGCACUUCAAAUAGGCAAUUUCCAUUCAGUCACAUUGUCAGGCAUCUUCCCGAGGAUCCUUAUCAUUAACUGCAUCGUUUCCCUUAAGAUACCGCACUUCAAAUAGGCAAUUUCCAUUCAGUCACAUUGUCAGGCAUCUUCCCGAGGGUCCUUAUCAUUAACUGCAUCGUUUCCCCCUUAAGAUACCGCACUCGUUAAUGGAUCUUAUCUUCACAACCUGACUUUCUUUUCAAUUUCUGUUUAAUACCGACACAUGAUGAAACCACAAGACAAUAUUCAAGGCACACUGUUUAAUGACGAUAAAAACUCUGCAAAAAAUCAAGACACACAAGUCGCAAAGUCAGAAAGAAUGGCAUCGUCACCACAGAUCUAAUAAUACACUAGAUAGUGCAACG